rnacentral:tRNA from 1 species
GGAGUAUAGCUCAGUGGUAGAGCACCUGCUUAGCAUGCAUGAGGUCCUGGGUUCAAUCCUCAGUGCCUCCA